GCCUUCGUAGUGUAAUGGUCAGCGCAUUCGGCGCGUAUGCGAGAGGCCGAAGGUUCGAAUCCCGGCGAGGGCA
rfam:Stegodyphus mimosarum contig7522, whole genome shotgun sequence.